ensembl:lncRNA
AAAGAGGGAAUAUGCUUCUAAUUGUGAUUCCUUCUACUAACUCACUUUAUCUCCAAUGGAACAUUCCUGUGUGUUUCUCUCAAACAGAAGGAGAGGAAGAGGUGAUGAUGACGAUGCAGAGAGACCACCCAUCUGCACCAGCUGAGCCCAUCUGCAGAGGGCGUUCUGCAGAUGCCUUGCUGCAGCUCAGCUCCCAGCUGCACAGGAGCUGAAGAGACCUGCAUGGGAGCAAGUGGUCUGC